rnacentral:misc_RNA from 1 species
UACUCUCACACUCUCUCUCAUUAGAGAGAGAGCGGUGGACUUGGGUGUUGCCUGGUAAACUUUACUGUCAGGCUCAUCUUAAAUGCGUUAGUGCAACUGCUAGUUAGACAUAGUACGGCGUGAUAAAUAAACCCUCGCUGUUUUAGGCCUGAUUGGGAGCUCUGUGCUUCAAACCGUCUUUGGACAAUGUCUGAUA